UACAGAGACUGCAAGCGUUAUUCGGAUUCACUGGGCGUAAAGGGUGCGCAGGCGGCCAAGUGUGUGAGGCGUGAAAGCCCGGGGCUUAACCCCGGAAUUGCACCUCAAACUACUUGGCUAGAGCAUUGGAGAGGGUAGCAGAAUUCAUGGUGUAGCAGUGAAAUGCGUAGAUAUCAUGAGGAAUACCAGAGGCGAAGGCGGCUACCUGGACAGGUACUGACACUCAACUACGAAAGCGUGGGGAGCAAACAGG
rnacentral:rRNA from 1 species